CACACAUAAAGUUGCCAUGUGUUACUAACUACUCAUUCUUCACCGAUCCGCCCACCUACUAAUUUCUCACCCACAGAAUUUCUAUAUUUCACUCGUACAUUUGAUUUUUCCUCUAGAAUUAUUUUUUCUCUCUUACGGCUUUCUCGGGAUUUCAUUUCCAUUGAAUGUUACAUAUACAUAUAGAUUUUCAUAUAGAGAGGAGUUCGUCUGCCGGAUCCGAUGUUGCCACCGCAUCAGCAGCUGAUACAGAAGCAAAUGACUGCGAAUCUAGGAAGGAGGCUGCUAGUUGUUAGAGGCGGUGAUUUUUUCAAGUGGUGAAAGAAGUCCGGUGUUUGUUCCUAUUGAUUGUUACUCGAGGUGAUUGUCAUUUACAAAAGAGACUGGGUAUUGGAGUAAAUAUGAAAGGAUGAAAAGGUUCAUAGAGUGAAGGUUGUGUCUAUUGUAUGAUUGUAUCCUAUGCUUAUCAGUAUGUACGUUGUACCUUACGCAUCAUUUGUUGUAAAAAGCAAGUUGGUUUUUAGUA